rnacentral:rRNA from 1 species
AUUGAACGCUGGCGGAAUGCUUUACACAUGCAAGUCGAGCGGCAGCGCGGGGGCAACCCUGGCGGCGAGCGGCGAACGGGUGAGUAAUGCAUCGGAACGUACCCAGUCGUGGGGGAUAACGUGGCGAAAGUCACGCUAAUACCGCAUACGUCCUGAGGGAGAAAGCAGGGGAUCGCAAGACCUUGCGCGAUUGGAGCGGCCGAUGUCUGAUUAGCUAGUUGGUGGGUAAAGGCCUACCAAGGCGACGAUCAGUAGCUGGUCUGAGAGGACGAUCAGCCACACUGGGACUGAGACACGGCCCAGACUCCUACGGGAGGCAGCAGUGGGGAAUUUUGGGACAAUGGGCGAAAGCCUGAUCCAGCCAUUCCGCGUGAGUGAAG